rnacentral:rRNA from 1 species
AGCGAACGCUGGUGGCAGGCCUAACACAUGCAAGUCGAGCGCCCAGCAAUGGGAGCGGCAGACGGGUGAGUAACGCGUGGGGAUCUGCCCAAUGGUACGGAAUAACCCAGGGAAACUUGGAUUAAUACCGUAUGUGCCCUUCGGGGGAAAGACUUAUCGCCAUUGGAUGAACCCGCGUCGGAUUAGCUAGUUGGUGAGGUAAAGGCGCACCAAGGCGACGAUCCGUAGCUGGUCUGAGAGGAUGAUCAGCCACACUGGGACUGAGACACGGCCCAGACUCCUACGGGAGGCAGCAGUGGGGAAUAUUGGACAAUGGGCGCAAGCCUGAUCCAGCCAUGCCGCGUGAGUGAUGAAGGCCUUAGGGUUGUAAAGCUCUUUCGCCGGUGAAGAUAAUGACGGUAACCGGAGAAGAAGCCCCGGCUAACUUCGUGCCAGCAGCCGCCGUAACAC